GAUGAACGCUAGCUACAGGCUUAACACAUGCAAGUCGAGGGGAAACGACAUCGAAAGCUUGCUUUUGAUGGGCGUCGACCGGCGCACGGGUGAGUAACGCGUAUCCAACCUGCCCACCACUUGGGGAUAACCUUGCGAAAGUAAGACUAAUACCCAAUGAUAUCUCUAGAAGACAUCUGAAGGAGAUUAAAGAUUUAUCGGUGAUGGAUGGGGAUGCGUCUGAUUAGCUUGUUGGCGGGGUAACGGCCCACCAAGGCGACGAUCAGUAGGGGUUCUUGGAGGAAGGUCCCCCACAUUGGACCUGAGACACGGUCCAAACUCCUACGGGAGGCAGCAGUGAGGAAUAUUGGUCAAUGGGCGAGAGCUUGAACCAGCCAAGUAGCGUGCAGGAUGACGGCCCUAUGGGUUGUAAACUGCUUUUAUAAGGGAAUAAAGUGAGCCUCGUGAGGCUUUUUGCAUGUACCUUAUGAAUAAGGACCGGCUAAUUCCGUGCCAGCCGCCGCGGUAA
rnacentral:rRNA from 1 species